rnacentral:rRNA from 1 species
GACGUAGGGCGCGAGCGUUGUCCGGAUUUAUUGGGCGUAAAGAGCUCGUAGGCGGCUCAUUGCGUCAACCGUGAAAACCAGCAGCUCAACUGUUGGCUUGCGGUUGAUACGGGUGGGCUGGAGUUCGGUAGGGGAGACUGGAAUUCCUGGUGUAGCGGUGAAAUGCGCAGAUAUCAGGAGGAACACCAGUGGCGAAGGCGGCGCUCUGGGCCGUGACUGACGCUGAGGAGCGAAAGCGUGGGGAGCAAACAGG